CUCUUUUGCACUGACUAUUCCUAUUUGGUUAAUCCACUUUUCCCUGUCCAUGCACCACAAUGUCAUACACCUCCAGCGGAACAUGAUCGCUUCGUUUCCCCUUGUCCAGGUUACCCCCUUCAUACAUUCGAUGCAUUUGUUUUACUGCCAUGUAACAUCGCUCUUCGGUAACGCAGGUGUCCCAAGGCGAGCUCAGCGUGGACGGAAACCACACGUGGAGCAAAAGGGCAAAAGCUCGCUCGCUCGAUCUCGAUUUUCAGUACGAAUACGGACUGCGAAAGCAUGGCCCAUCGAUCCUUUCCGAACAACGGCGAGCUAUGCGUCCGCCAAGAGGUGUCAGAAUUUGUCCUCUACUCGAAGAGAAAACCCAUUUGUUGCCAGCAAGUCAAUAGUU
rnacentral:ncRNA from 1 species